GGGCCAUUAGCUCAGUUGGUUAGAGCGCACCCCUGAUAAGGGUGAGGUCCGGUGUUCAAAUCACCGAUGGCCCACCA
rnacentral:tRNA from 1 species